rnacentral:rRNA from 1 species
GCUUUAUAUUGCCUUUAAUUUCAUUUAUGUAGGAGUAAUUGAAUGUAAUUAGGGGUAUUAUUUUGUUGGGGUGACAGGAAGAUAAGAAAAACUCUUUUUAUAGUUUAAACCAUUGAUGUAUGAUUUAUUGAUCCAUUAUUAAUGAUUAUAAGACUAAGU